rnacentral:rRNA from 1 species
CCUACGGGUGGCUGCAGUGAGGAAUAUUGGUCAAUGGUCGGGAGACUGAACCAGCCAAGCCGCGUGAGGGAUGAAGGUACAGAGUAUCGUAAACCUCUUUUGUCAGGGAACAAAGGCGGGGACGUGUCCCCGGAUGAGUGUACCUGAAGAAAAAGCCUCGGCUAACUCCGUGCCCGCAGCCGCGGUACUACGGAGGCUGCGAGCGUUAUCCGGAUUUAUUUGGUUUAAAGGGUGCGCAGGCGGAUUUUUAAGUCAGCGGUCAAAGCGUGGGGCUCAACCCCAUCCAGCCGUUGAAACUGGGGAUCUAGAGUGUGCGAGAGGUAUGCGGAAUGCGUGGUGUAGCGGUGAAAUGCAUAGAUAUCACGCAGAACCCCGAUUGCGAAGGCAGCAUACCGGUGCACAACUGACGCUCAGGCACGAAAGCGUGGGUAUCGAACAGGAUUAGAUACCCGGGUAGUC